UACGGUCACAUGAUCGGAGGCCCCCGUAUUCGGGUUGCAUUGGCAUUUGGAUUUGCAUUGUUUGGUCUUGAUCCCUUGUAGCGACCCCUUGAUUUAUUUUGCUGUGUUGGAAACCUCUGUUCAUUGUGUCGAUUAAAACACGCGAUGGCGGAAUGUCCCCGUUUGCUACAAAUUUGACAUAUCAGAACAGUCAUUGCUUCAGAGAUGGUAGUGUGUAUAAUAUUUGCAGUCGAGAUGCGUGUAUCGGUGGCUCGUUGGAGACGAGCUUCAUAUGAUCGUAAAAGACCAAGAAAAGAGGAUAAACUUAUAUCUUCUAUUCCACCAGUUUGAACAGUAACAAAGGGAUCAUAUUGUGUAUCAAGACCGUUUAGGGCGAUCGACUAUAGUUCACCAUCGUCGAAGGAAACCCCGGCCUCCCGAAGCUCCUCUGCCAUAUUGGUUAUCUUAGCUACAUACUCGUCAGGUGAGAGAUCAUUUUUGCGAAAAUUUGUAGCUGAUAUUUCAGUUGCAGAAUUCUUGAUCUUGAUCGAGUGUUGAAAAUUUCUUCCAAGGCGACCCAGACUUCACGGGAUGUCUUGUGCCCUGUCACCUGCAGUAGCACUGAAGGAGAGAUAGCCAAAAACAGCCAUGCCAGUAGAAGCUGAUCUUGCUGUGCUAAAGACGGACCCGAUUCUGUUACCGCCUCUUCGACGAACCUUAGCAGCUCGUAUCCUUGAAGGUGCGCUAAAAUUUGGGCCUUCCAGGUAAAGUAAUUAGACCUGUCUAGAUGUACCGUGCUAAGAUGUUUUAUCUUGAUCAGCGCUGGUCGCGUAGACGAAGUCGACGUCGCAAUCGGUGUUGCAGAAGCUACUACCGGAGUGUUUGAAUCUCCAGUCAUUGAGUUUCAGCGGAAGCACAAAAGAAAGAAAAACUUUUGCAGCAGAAAAAAAAAUCAAGAACCUUGUGGCUCUAAUACCAUAUAACAAUGAGAGAAAUAUGAUCAAGUGUCCCCUUUCAUUCAUU
rnacentral:lncRNA from 1 species